rnacentral:tRNA from 1 species
GGAGGCAUAGCUCAGUUGGUCAGAGCGCACGGUUCACAUCCGUGAGGUCGUAGGUUCGAGCCCCACUGUCUCCACCA